rnacentral:rRNA from 1 species
UACGUAGGGUGCGAGCGUUAAUCGGAAUUACUGGGCGUAAAGCGUGCGCAGGCGGCGCGUUAAGUCAGGUGUGAAAGCCCCGAGCUUAACUUGGGAAGUGCGCUUGUGACUGGCGUGCUGGAGUGUGGCAGAGGGAGGUGGAAUUCCACGUGUAGCAGUGAAAUGCGUAGAGAUGUGGAGGAACACCGAUGGCGAAGGCAGCGUCCUGGGCCAGCACUGACGCUCAUGCACGAAAGCGUGGGGAGCAAACAGG